AAGUCUGUUAGAGCACGUGGAGCGUUAAGAUCCUGAAACUGAGGACUACUGAUGUGUUUAACGCGGCGUGACUACUGAUGGGUUUAUCGCGGCGUGUUUCACAAGAUCCGAAUGUUGUACGCGGGUGGAGAGUCGACUCACACCUCCUCACAAGUCCUGUGCAGGAUGUCAGGGCCGAUUGACUUCAUCCUGAGAUUAAGACCUCAUCUUGGUCCGAUCAAGCCGGAAGGACGAGCGAAGUUUGCGGUCCCUGAGGGGCUGGAGCGGGCGGUAGUUGUUCACCAUCACAUCCUCUUCCUCACCUCGCCCGGAGAACAAGAGUGUGCGGAACGUGGAUAGCUGGAACGGAGAACAGCCGCGGUGAGCUGACACAGGCACAGAGAGAUCCACGUGCCGGGUGACCCCUCCCACACUGACCAACAGAACUCAGUAUAAUGAACCCGUGACUCCGCGAAGUCCAAGGGAUCACUAAAGGCACAGUGGCCACCACUCCAUUGGGUUUGGAGAGCCCAUAGACACGAGGGGAACCCAGUGGUUCCAAUGAACCAAGAGGGAACUGAGGCCCAGCCAACAGCCAGCACCUACUUGCCAGCCACUGAGUGAGCCACUAGGUAGGGAAGGAAUCCCCUGGGUAUGUGCCAUGAUAUACAUCUUUCUGUUAAUGUAUACAUUUACACCCCACCCCCAAUGAACUGUGAUGAGAUGGACAGGAA